rnacentral:rRNA from 1 species
AGAGUUUGAUCAUGGCUCAGAAUCAACGCUGGCGGCGUGCCUCAGACAUGCAAGUCGAACGCGAAAGUUCCCUUCGGGGGAUGAGUAGAGUGGCGCACGGGUGAGUAACACGUAGGUAAUCUACCUUCGGGUGGGGAAUAACCCAGGGAAACUUGGGCUAACACCGCAUAAUGCAGCGGCACCACAUGGUGACAGUUGUUAAAGCGGGGGAUUUUCGGACCUCGCGCCUGAAGAGGAGCCUGCGGCAGAUUAGCUAGUUGGUAGGGUAACGGCUUACCAAGGCAACGAUCUGUAGCCGGCCUGAGAGGGCGGUCGGCCACACUGACACUGACAUACGGGUCAGACUCCUACGGGAGGCAGCAGUCGGGAAUUUUGGGCAAUGGGCGAAAGCCUGACCCAGCAACGCCGCGUGAAGGAUGAAAUCCUUCGGGAUGUAAACUUCGCAAGAAUGGGAAGAAUUAGUAGGGGCUAAUACCCCCUAUGAUGACGGUACCAUUUGUAAGCUCCGGCUAACUCCGUGCCAGCAGCCGCGGUAAUACGGGGGGAGCAAGCGUUGUUCGGAUUUACUGGGCGUAAAGGGCGCGUAGGCGGUCAGCACAAGUCAGUUGUGAAAUCUCCGGGCUUAACUCGGAAAGGUCAACUGAUACUGUGCGACUAGAGUGCAGAAGGGGCAACUGGAAUUCUCGGUGUAGCGGUGAAAUGCGUAGAUAUCGAGAGGAACACCUGCGGCGAAGGCGGGUUGCUGGGCUGACACUGACGCUGAGGCGCGAAAGCCAGGGGAGCGAACGGGAUUAGAUACCCUAGUAGUCC